rnacentral:rRNA from 1 species
AUGAACGCUGACAGAAUGCUUAACACAUGCAAGUCUACUUGAACUUCGGUUUGGGUGGCGGACGGGUGAGUAACGCGUAAAGAACUUGCCUCACAGUUAGGGACAACAUUUGGAAACGAAUGCUAAUACCUGAUAUUAUGAUUUUAGGGCAUCCUAAAAUUAUGAAAGCUAUAUGCGCUGUGAGAGAGCUUUGCGUCCCAUUAGCUAGUUGGAGAGGUAACGGCUCACCAAGGCGAUGAUGGGUAGCCGGCCUGAGAGGGUGAACGGCCACAAGGGGACUGAGACACGGCGCUUACUCCGACGGGAGGCAGCAGUGGGGAAUAUUGGACAAUGGACCAAAAGUCUGAUCCAGCAAUUCUGUGUGCACGAUGACGUUUUUCGGAAUGUAAAGUGCUUUCAGUUGGGAAGAAAAAAAUGACGGUACCAACAGAAGAAGUGACGGCUAAAUACGUG